UGCCCAGCAAAUCCUGUCCCUACCUCUGCGUGGUAGAUACCAUCUGGAAACUAUGAGCAGCCUUAGGGAAGAUCGGGUAACCAACCCCGGUGAGAACUUUGGUCCUAGGCUGACAGGGAAGG
rnacentral:ribozyme from 1 species